rnacentral:rRNA from 1 species
CAAUAGCGUAUAUUAAAGUUGUUGCAGUUAAAAAGCUCGUAGUUGGAUUUCUGGUGGGAGCGAUCGGUCUGGCGCUUAGCGCGAGUACUUGCAUCGUCUCCGGCCAUCCUUGGGGAGAGUCUGUCUGGCAUUAGGUUGUCGGGCAGAGGAUCCUCAUCGUUUACUGUGAAAAAAUUAGAGUGUUCAAAGCAGGCUUAUGCCGUUGAAUAUAUUAGCAUGGAAUAAUAAGAUAGUACUUUGGUACUAUUUUGUUGGUUUGCGCACCAAAGUAAUGAUUAAUAGGGACAGUUGGGGGUAUUCGUAUUCCGUUGUCAGAGGUGAAAUUCUUGGAUUUACGGAAGACGAACUACUGCGAAAGCAUUUACCAAGGAUGUUUUCAUUAA